GUGGGUUGAAUUUUCAUUUCACAAUGUAAGCCUCAAGUUGGUUCUUUUUUGUUGUUGUUUUAGAGACAGGGCUUCUCUGUGUACCCUCACUGUCCUGGAUCUCGCUCUGUAGACCAGCUUGGCCUCAAGCUCAGAGAUCCACCCGCCUCUGCUUCUGAGUGUGGGGAUUAAAGGUGUGCACCACCAUGCCCCGCCUAAGUUGGUUCUUAGUAUGUCCUACAGAUCCCAUGUCACGCUGAUUUUGACUGUGCUUGGUCUGUUUUUAAUGCUAAAUGUGUAAAGCAAUGUCAUUAAAGAAUGCUUUAAGUCUCAACUAUAAUCUGAAACAAUAAUGAUUAUAAACACACACACACACACACACAUGCACAUACACAUGCAAGUAGAUACCCAAUUUUGACAAAACAUCACGUGAUAGACUGGCUGAUUUGUGACAGCUUUGUAAGUGGCUACUGUCUUUUAGGAAGGCACUGUCGACUAUAUAGUACAUAGAAGAAUAAAAAAUAUCCGUGUUUUUUGACCCUGCGAUUUCAUGGUUGGGGAAGCAGGAGAAUUUGUCCGCCUGAGGUUACCCUCGGGAGCUCGGAUUUGACUGAAGAUGAUGCCGAGCUGUGAAUACAAGCAGCUGAGAAGAAAGGGAUAUAGAUCAACAAAAGGCAAGGUGGCCGCAGCGAUGACCCGAAAAACCUUGACUGCCAAGGAUGACAGCUCUACUGGGUCUGCAAGAAAAGAAUCUCAGAAAUUAACAUCGGUCAAUAAUGUAAACAAGACUACAAACAUCAGUUGGCUCUCAAGAGUCUGUCCUUUUCUGUGUUCGAGUAGCUGACCUUGGGUUGCACACCGCAUUUCCCUGCCAUAUCUGUCUUCUCUCGCUCCACCAACUGAGGGAUGUGUGGUUUUCCUGUUUAUCUUGGCCAACAAGUGUAAAGAGGGCCGGCCUGCUACUCUGCAGAACAUCUCUCAGUUUGGUUUCCUCUGACUUCUUCUCAGUGAUGCUAUCAGAGCGGCGAUGACGUCAGCAUGUCUCAGCACUGCUAAUGUUGACUUUGACCCCUUGGGGAACUGGUGUGUGCUGUCUCCACUGUGUGGCUGUCCCCCUAGAAGCACUAAGGCUCUUAGAGGAGACACUUCAGACUAGGAGAGUUUCACUAAUUAGAAUUCUCUUGUCUCCCCUUAACUUAUCAUUAAAUGAUAUAUAUUAAUAUAGACAUAAAUAACCAUUUUACUCUAUUGUAGCAGUAAGUUUCUCUGGUCCUGCCCAGCCCUGCUGUCAGGAUGAAUCUCGCCCACCCAUGUCCCCCAGCUGCUUGGUCCCAAGUAAAUACAUAGAGGCUUAUAUUAAUUAUGAACUGGAUUAUGAACUGAGCCUAUGGCUCAGGCUUCUUGCUAGCUAGCUAUUACAACUUAACUCAACCCAUUUCUGUUAAUAUAUAAGUUGCUUGCAUGUAUGACCACGUGGCUGUGGCGUUACCAGUCUGCUGACAUCUUGCUGUUCCUUAGGUGGUGGCUGGAGUCUCUCUUUCUGCCUCUGCCUUUCUUCUUCCUGUCUCUCUGUUGGAUUUUCCUGCCUGGCUCCAUCCUGCCCUGCCAUAGGCCAAUGCAGCUUUAUUUAUUAGCCAAUGGGAGUAACACAUAGUCACAUCAUCCAGAAAGACCUCCCACAACAAUCUAUAAAUUGCAAUCAUUCAUUUUCUUGUCCCAAUUUGUCCAGCUUUGACCUUAGAGAGGCCAGGUCAUUCAGGCUGGCUUCUCUUACACACACACACACACACAUCAUUCACGAACAUUACUUUGCUUUCUGGCAUCACAAGAUAUCCCAAAUUCAUUUUGUGUUUUCCUGUUCUCACUCCAGAAUGAGCUCUUCUCUGUGACAGCAGCAUGCCUUUUCAGAAGGGUAUUUAGAAACCCAGCUAGGGUUCCUAGGAGCACUCAUUACUGUUGAGUUAGCAUUGCUUUUAGGCCCCGUUAGUAUAGAUAGGAUACAUGAUUACAUAUUUGUGAACACACAUGCAUAUUUAUGUAGGUAUUUUCAUGGAUACACCUUUAUCUACCUAUCUACUUAGGUCACGACUUCAUGCCAACAUCUCCAAAGCCGAUCCAAACCAUGGGACUACAUAAAAAGGAGAAAGCCAGCUGAACAUAAGAAUCCAUUCCUCUGAUUCUGGACCAACGUGGCCAGCCAUCAUCUCCUACCGCCAUAUCUUCCCUGCUGUGGUGAACUGUUUC